AAAGAAUUAGUUUAAAAAAACAUUAAUAUGUCAAAUUAAAAUUAAUAUUUAAAUAUUAUUCUUUU
rnacentral:tRNA from 1 species